rnacentral:rRNA from 1 species
GGGAGGUAGAAUUCCACGUGUAGCAGUGAAAUGCGUAGAGAUGUGGAGGAAUACCGAUGGCGAAGGCAGCCUCCUGGGAUAACACUGACGUUCAUGCCCGAAAGCGUGGGUAGCAAACAGGAUUAGAUACCCUGGUAGUCCACGCCCUAAACGAUGUCGAUUAGCUGUUGGGCAGCAUGACUGCUUAGUAGCGAAGCUAACGCGUGAAAUCGACCGCCUGGGGAGUACGGUCGCAAGAUUAAAACUCAAAGGAAUUGACGGGGACCCGCACAAGCGGUGGAUGAUGUGGAUUAAUUCGAUGCAACGCGAAGAACCUUACCUGGUCUUGACAUGUACGGAACCCUCCAGAGACGGAGGGGUGCCUUCGGGAGCCGUAACACAGGUGCUGCAUGGCUGUCGUCAGCUCGUGUCGUGAGAUGUUGGGUUAAGUCCCGCAACGAGCGCAACCCUUGUCAUUAGUUGCCAUCAUUAAGUUGGGCACUCUAAUGAGACUGCCGGUGACAAGCCGGAGGAAGGUGGGGAUGACGUCAAGUCCUCAUGGCCCUUAUGACCAGGGCUUCACACGUCAUACAAUGGUCGGUACAGAGGGUAGCCAAGCCGCGAGGUGGAGCCAAUCUCACAAAACCGAUCGUAGUCCGGAUUGCACUCUGCAACUCGAGUGCAUGAAGUCGGAAUCGCUAGUAAUCGCAGGUCAGCAUACUGCAGUGAAUACGUUCCCGGGUCUUGUACACACCGCCCGUCACACCAUGGGAGUGGGGGAUACCAGAAGUAGGUAGGGUAACCGCAAGGAGCCCGCUUACCACGGUAUGCUUCAUGACUGGGGUGAAGUCGUAACAAGGUAGCCGUAGGGGAACC